rnacentral:lncRNA from 1 species
GUGAUUCUAUGAUUCUGUUUAAUUGAAUUGAAACUAGCUAUGAAGAUUUUUCAGAAACCUCAGACAGUUUAUUGUAACACUCAAAGUUAAAUGAAUUAUGAAACCUCAGACAGUUUAUUGUAACACUCAAAGUUAAAUGAAUUAUAGGGUACGAAAUUGAGAAAUUACAAGUUUUAUUUGAAUUGGAUUAAAACUCUGCCUAUGUCGUAGUUGUUGAAAAUCAUCAAAAAUCCAGUUCGACCUAUGAAGCACUGACACAUACACAAACACCAAACACAACACUAACACGUAGACACUGGUAGUAAUUUAAGAAAAUGGAAGUGAUUGAAUAUAACCACAUGAGUCAGUAUCGGACACCAAACACACCUUCAAUCUCAAGUAUCAAUGCUACAUAGAGUCCGAUGCACAGAUAAAAUAGGAGGGUUGUUUUAGUUCUUAAACAGUGAA